rnacentral:rRNA from 1 species
UNUGACUUGAGUGCAGAAGGGGAGAGUGGAAUUCCANGUGUAGCGGUGAAAUGCGUAGAUAUAUGGAGGAACACCAGUGGCGAAAGCGGCUCUCUGGUCUGUCACUGACGCUGAGGCUCGAAAGCGUGGGUAGCGAACAGGAUUAGAUACCCUGGUAGUNCACGCCGUAAACGAUGAGUGCUAGGUGUUAGGCCCUUUCCGGGGCUUAGUGCCGGAGCUAACGCAAUAAGCACUCCGCUUGGGGAGUACGACCGCAAGGUUGAAACUCAAAGGAAUUGACGGGGGCCCGCACAAGCGGUGGAGCAUGUGGUUUAAUUCGAAGCAACGCGAAGAACCUUACCAGGUCUUGACAUCCCGAUGCUAUUCUUAGAGAUAGGAAGUUACUUCGGUACAUCGGAGACAGGUGGUGCAUGGUUGUCGUCAGCUCGUGUCGUGAGAUGUUGGGUUAAGUCCCGCAACGAGCGCAACCCUUAUUGUUAGUUGCCAUCAUUAAGUUGGGCACUCUAGCGAGACUGCCGGUAAUAAACCGGAGGAAGGUGGGGAUGACGUCAAAUCAUCAUGCCCCUUAUGACCUGGGCUACACACGUGCUACAAUGGUCGGUACAACGAGUUGCGAGCCGGUGACGGCAAGCUAAUCUCUGAAAGCCGAUCUCAGUUCGGAUUGGAGGCUGCAACUCGCCUCCAUGAAGUCGGAAUCGCUAGUAAUCGCGGAUCAGCACGCCGCGGUGAAUACGUUCCCGGGCCUUGUACACACCGCCCGUCACACCACGAGAGUUUGUAACACCCGAAGUCGGUGAGGUAACCUCUUAGGGGCCAGCCGCCUAAGGUGGGANGGAUGAU